rnacentral:rRNA from 1 species
GAACGCUAGCGGCGCGCUUAAUGCAUGUAAGUCGAGCGAUGAGGCCCUCUUCGGGGGGUACAUCAGCGGCAGACGGGUGAGUAGCACGUAGGUGAUCUACCCCAGAGACGGGGAUAACGGACGGAAACGUCCGCUAAUACCGGAUGACCUUGUCAGGUCAAAGCGACAAGGAAAGGCUCCGGCGCUCUGGGAGGAGCCUGCGGCCCAUCAGCUAGUUGGCGGGGUAAAGGCCCACCAAGGCGAAGACGGGUAGGGGGUGUGAGAGCAUGGCCCCCCACAAUGGGACUGAAACACGGCCCAUACUCCUACGGGAGGCAGCAGCAGGGAAUAUUGCACAAUGGACGGAAGUCUGAUGCAGCGACGCCGCGUGGAUGAUGAAGGCCCUCGGGUUGUAGAAUCCUUUACAAGGGGACGAGGAAGGACGGUACCCUUGGAACAAGUGUCGGCUAACUACGUGCCAGCAGCCGCGGUAAGACGUAGGACACAAGCGUUAUCCGGAUUUACUGGGCGUAAAGCGUCUGCAGGCGGACAGGUAAGUUGGGCGUGAAAGCUCCGGGCUCAACCCGGAGAGGUCGUUCAAUACUGCGUGUCUAGAGGGUGUCAGAGGGGAGUGGAAUUUCCGGAGUAGCGGUAAAAUGCGCAGAGAUCGGAAAGAACACCAAUGGCGAAGGCAGCUCCCUGGGGCAUACCUGACGCUAAGAGACGAAAGCUAGGGGAGCGAACAGGAUUAGAGACCCUGGUAGUCCUAGCCCUAAACGAUGGAUGCUGGAUGUGGGGCCAUAGCGCUCCGUGUCGAAGCGAACGCGUUAAGCAUCCCGCCUGGGGACUACGGCCGCAAGGUUAAAACUCAAACGAAUUGACGGGACCCCGCACAAGCAGCGGAGCGUGUGGUUUAAUUCGAUGCUACACGAAGAACCUUACCUGGGUUUGACAUCUAGGUGGUAGCGAAGUGAAAGCGGAGCGACCCUUCGGGGAGCCUAGACAGGUGCUGCAUGGCUGUCGUCAGCUCGUGCCGUGAGGUGUCGGGUUAAGUCCCGUAACGAGCGCAACCCUUGCCCUC